rnacentral:misc_RNA from 1 species
AAAGACUUUGUAUGUUUUUGUUAUUCAAAUAUUUCAGUUUUUAUUGUUCUAUUGAAUUCUUAAUGGACAGAAUCCAAAUAAUGAAAAUAAAAUUACAUGAAAUUACUGUAUACAAUUGAUCAAUGGGAGAAUUAUUAUUUGUCAGAUUUUAUAAGAUACCUAAUUGCGAACAGCCCAAGUACCAAAAGUAAAACAAACAGAAGCCAGUUCUUCAUAUCCUUUUGCUUCUUCAUCUCCAUGACCAUUUCACCAAACACCUGCUUGAAAAUUUCUGUUGCAAAUUCAUAAUUACUUCCCCUCACAAUUCCUGUUCCAACCCCAUUUUUAUCUGUCUUAUCCUGAA